rnacentral:rRNA from 1 species
UGGGGAAUUUUGCACAAUGGGGGAAACCCUGAUGCAGCGACGCCGCGUGAUUUAGAAGGCCUUCGGGUUGUAAAAAUCUUUUCUAUGGGAAGAAAAUGACAGUACCAUAGGAAUAAGGACCGGCUAAUUACGUGCCAGCAGCCGCGGUAAUACGUAAGGUCCGAGCGUUGUCCGGAAUCAUUGGGCGUAGAGGGUACGUAGGCGGGUAAGCAAGUUAGAAGUGAAAUCCUAUAGCUCAACUAUAGUAAGCUUUUAAAACUGCUCAUCUUGAGGUAUGGAAGGGAAAGUGGAAUUCCUAGUGUAGCGGUGAAAUGCGCAGAUAUUAGGAGGAAUACCGGUGGCGAAGGCGACUUUCUGGCCAUAACCUGACGCUGAGGUACGAAAGCGUGGGUAGCAAACAGG